CAAAGGCCUGCAAGGUGGGGGCUGUCGGAACAGUGCGGCCUGAGGAAAGCCCCAAACAGAGAACAACCCAAAUGCCUAUCAACAAUAGUAUCGGCAGAUCAAGGUUCUUUCAUACAGCAACGAGAAGAAGAAAAUUACCCAUACUAUGGAUGAAUCAAGUCCGCGUGGAAAAUAAGCCAGAUGCAGAAGAGGACAUGCUGUUUGAUCUACUGACAUAAAGUUUUAUAAAAUGGAA